UUGCAAGCCUCUAGCAUGCUUGGGUCUGCAUUGGCCCCGUGAUUCCUGCAGUGCUUGCCAGAGCAGUUUUGAAAUGCUUUGAGGCCUUGCCCUGCUCCAGGUAGAGCAAGGUUAUAGAAAUUUCAGACAAUG